AAAAUAUUUAAUUUUUGUAUUAUGAUAUAAUUAAUAAAUUAUAGGUCUCUAUUUUAUCGAUAAUGACAUUUAUUGUUAUGUCAAAUGGCAGUCAAAAAUAAUUCAAAAAUAUGAAAGAAACAAACCUUGACAUAAAGACAUUUAAGAAACCUGAAAAAGUCGUGACUACGCGAACAUUGUUCAUCUUCGCUUUUGCAUAUGUUGUAAGGAUUAAUAAAGAGACGAUAAAGAUCUUAACGAGAGGAAAAGGCGAUUUUCUCACAACAUUUUAAACGGCGGUCGUGAAAUUUAGACCGUGUAAAAAACUGGUGAAAGAUGCAUGAAAAAAAGAGGGGAUUUUCCGUUGUUGGAACAACAAUCGUGGAUCGAACAACUCUAUCAGCAACAAUCGGAGAUAAAAACAAUGAAACUCGUGCUCCAUACAAAUCGAGAUUUAACGGUUAGGUUGAUGAUCCCAGUGCCAAAAAUAAACACGGUCUUUAACCUUCCAACCAAAAGGGUUAUCUUGCUUAAAGAUCCUCUGCGUGCAUUGCAAAACUAAAUAAAAGGAGAAAAGGUUUCCAACAAAACUCCGUCUCAGGUUUUGUUUGCUUUUAACCAAUAAUGAUUUUAAUUUUGCAAUAAGUCUUUGAAUUGCAAUAUAAAAGCAAAAUCCUUAAUACAUAAUGAGAUAGAAAGAGAAAGAUAAUUUGAAAUGUCAAAGAAGAGUUUAACAAAAAGGUUAAUAACGUAGAAAGCAAUUUUAUUACAAACGAUUAAACAAAAAGAUGAUGAUGUGAAAA